AAGUCGUAACAAGGUUUCCGUAGGUGAACCUGCGGAAGGAUCAUUAUUGAAUAAACUUGGUUGGGUUGCUGCUGGCUCUCAGGAGCAUGUGCACGCUCACUCCAUUUUUUAACCACCUGUGCACAUACUGUAGGCCUGAAUGAAACUUUUUCCGAGGGAAACUCGGUUUGAGAACUGCUGCGUAAUAUCGGCUGUUCUUGCAAUUCAGGUCUAUGUUUUAUACAUUAUACUCCAAAACAAGUGAUAGAAUGUUAAUUUAUUUGGCCUUUUGUGCCUUUUAAAACUUAAUACAACUUUCAACAACGGAUCUCUUGGCUCUCGCAUCGAUGAAGAACGCAGCGAAAUGCGAUAAGUAAUGUGAAUUGCAGAAUUCAGUGAAUCAUCGAAUCUUUGAACGCACCUUGCGCUCCUUGGUAUUCCGAGGAGCAUGCCUGUUUGAGUGUCAUGAAAUUCUCAACCUUUCUGGCUUUUUAUUGAGCUGGUCAGGCUUGGAUUGUGGGAGUUGCUGGUUUCUUCUUGAGAUCGGCUCUUCUUAAAUGUAUUAGCAAAAUUCUGGCUGGACCCUUCUUUGGUAUGAUAAGUAUCUAUACCAUUGAAAAACACAGCUUUUCCACUUUAAUGGAUUUCAGGCUCUGCUUGGAUAUUACCUCCAAGUGUUCGAUUCAACCGUUCUGAAGCACCAGCUUAGGCACAGACAUUGACUUGUUUGAUGGUGUUAAAUAACUUCAGGUUGACGAAGCGAAAGUGUUUCCUUAGGGAAGUGCUCACGAGAGCAAGCAGCAUCAUCCGAUGUGUGCACUGUCAUAUUCCUGUAUCUACCCUAGCUACUAUGUAGCUUUGAUGGGUCUGGUCAAACCAUGACCUGAACAUAUCCUUAGUGGGAGGAUCUUGCUUCUAAUGUUGUUCCUAGGAACAAAAUCUUUUGACUAUUUGACCUCAAAUCAGGUAGGACUACCCGCUGAACUUAAGCAUAUCAAUAAGCGGAGGAAAAGAAACUAACAAGGAUUCCCCUAGUAACUGCGAGUGAAGCGGGAAAAGCUCAAAUUUAAAAUCUGGUAGUCUUUGGCUGCCCGAGUUGUAAUCUAG
rnacentral:misc_RNA from 1 species